rnacentral:misc_RNA from 1 species
GAUGAAGAACGUAGCGAAAUGCGAUAAGUAGUGUGAAUUGCAGAAUUCAGUGAAUCAUCGAAUCUUUGAACGCACAUUGCGCCCCUUGGUAUUCCAUGGGGCAUGCCUGUUCGAGCGUCAUUUGUACCUUCAAGCUCUGCUUGGUGUUGGGUGUUUGUCUCGCCUCUGCGUGUAGACUCGCCUUAAAACAAUUGGCAGCCGGCGUAUUGAUUUCGGAGCACAGUACAUCUCGCGCUUUGCACUCAUAACGACGACGUCCAAAAGUACAUUUUUACACUCUUGACCUCGGAUCAGGUAGGGAUACCCGCUGAACUUAAGCAUAUCAAUAAGCGGAGGA